CCCUUAGAUGCUCUGGGCCGCACGCGCGCUACACUGGUCGAUGCAACGAGUUUCUUUCCUUGGCCGACAGGCCUGGGCAAUCUUUGAACAUCGAUCGUGAUCGGGAUAGAUUCUUGUAAUUUUUGAUCUUAAACGAGGAAUUCCUAGUAAACGCAAGUCAUCAGCUUGCAUUGAUUACGUCCCUGCCCUUUGUACACACCGCCCGUCGCACCUACCGAUUUCGAGUGGUUCGGUGAACCUUUCGGACCGGCAAUGCCUCGUGUUGCGCCGGAAAGUCAAGUAAACCAUAUCACUUAGAGGAAGGAGAAGUCGUAACA
rnacentral:rRNA from 1 species